rnacentral:rRNA from 1 species
UGGCGAACGGGUGAGUAACACGUGAGCAACCUGCCCCGAAGACUGGGAUAACAGCGGGAAACCGCUGCUAAUACCGGAUGCCCCCACCGAGUCGCAUGGCUUGGUGAGGAAAUGGAUUCCGCUUCGGGAGGGGCUCGCGGCCUAUCAGCUUGUUGGUGGGGUAACGGCCUACCAAGGCGACGACGGGUAGCUGGUCUGAGAGGACGAUCAGCCACACUGGGACUGAGACACGGCCCAGACUCCUACGGGAGGCAGCAGUGGGGAAUAUUGCGCAAUGGGCGAAAGCCUGACGCAGCAACGCCGCGUGAGGGAUGAAGGCCUUCGGGUUGUAAACCUCUUUCGAGCAGGGACGAUUGUGACGGUACCUGCAGAAGAAGCUCCGGCCAACUACGUGCCAGCAGCCGCGGCAAUACGUAGGGAGCGAGCGUUGUCCGGAUUCAUUGGGCGUAAAGAGCUCGUAGGCGGCUUGGUAAGUCGGAUGUGAAACCUCCAGGCUCAACCUGGAGUCGCCAUCCGAUACUGUCAUGGCUAGAGUCCGGUAGGGGCCCACGGAACUCCUGGUGUAGCGGUGAAAUGCGCAGAUAUCAGGAAGAACACCGGUGGCGAAGGCGGUGGGCUGGGCCGGCACUGACGCUGAGGAGCGAAAGCGUGGGGAGCGAACAGGAUUAGAUACCCUGGUAGUCCACGCCGUAAACGUUGGGCACUAGGUGUGGGACCUUAUCAACAGGUUCCGUGCCGUAGCUAACGCAUUAAGUGCCCCGCCUGGGGAGUACGGCCGCAAGGCUAAAACUCAAAGGAAUUGACAGGGGCCCGCACAAGCGGCGGAGCAUGUGGCUUAAUUCGAGGCAACGCGAAGAACCCUACCUGGGUU